UACGUAGGGCGCGAGCGUUGUCCGGAAUUAUUGGGCGUAAAGAGCUCGUAGGCGGUUCGUCGCGUCGGCUGUGAAAACCUGAGGCUCAACCUCAGGCCUGCAGUCGAUACGGGCGGACUUGAGUACUGCAGGGGAGACUGGAAUUCCUGGUGUAGCGGUGAAAUGCGCAGAUAUCAGGAGGAACACCGGUGGCGAAGGCGGGUCUCUGGGCAGUAACUGACGCUGAGGAGCGAAAGCGUGGGGAGCGAACAGG
rnacentral:rRNA from 1 species